GAGCCAUCAGCCCAGAGCCCGACGCGGGGCUCGAUCUCACGGACCGCGAGAUCGUGACCUGAGUCGAAGUCGGACACUUAACCCACUGAGCCACCCAGGCGCCCCGGGAUGGAGUAUUUCAUGUGCAAGUGCUGUUCAGACCCUGGAGUUGCUUUUAUUAUUAAAAUAACAAGGCUUCCAGAUAAGAACAUGACAGUUCUACCUUUGGCAGUAACAGUUUCCACAGACCACGGAUUAUGGGACUUUAAGUUCAGUUCACCUUUAUGAAACAUCUACUAUGGGCAAGAUCUGCAGAUACAGUGAUGGACAAGACACCAUUUCUAUCCUCAAGAAGGUCACAGUCAAGGGGGAAAAGGACACACAAACAGGGCAAAAAGAAACCUGUUAGAUGAAGAGGACAGAAGGGCAUGCCGGGCAGAAGGAAGCAUGGCUUGUCGGAGGACCUGGAAGCGGGUAUUAUUGGGGCUUAAGGAGGGAGGCGGUGGGGCGCGAGUGGAGAGGAGGUGGGGGCAAGGGGCAGCCUGGUGUGGGGCUGGUGGCCAAAGGCCGUCUCUUCCUUCCCGGGCUUGAUGAGUGCAGCCUCACUCGCUUCCCCUGAGCCCAGAAGCCCCACCGCACCCGCUGGCCUUUGUCUCUAAACAGGUGCCCCUCUAUCUAUGGUCCCUUGCUUUAUUGAGUGUUGCAGAUACUCCAUGUUUUUACUUUGCAAAGGGAAGGUUUGUGGCAACCCUGGGUCGAGCAAGUCUAUCGGUGUCAUUUUCGUAGCAGCGUUUGCUCCCUCUGUGUCUCUGUGUCCUCUUUUGGUAAUUUUUGCAACAUUUCAAACUUUUUCAUUAUUAUAUUUGUUAUGGUGAUCUGUCAUCAGCGAGUACGACUUGUUGAAAGUUCAGAUGAUGGUUAGCAGUUUUUAGCGAUCAAGCCUUUUUCAAAAAGAUUUCAAGUAAUCUCUAUACCCAGCAUGGGGCUCGAACUCACAUCCCUGAGAUCGAGGGUCACAUGUCCCCUGACGGACUCAGCCAGGUGCCCUGCGAUAAGGUAUUUUUAAAUUAAGGUAUAUAUGUUGGUUUUUGUAGACAUGAUGCUAUUGCAUACUUAGUAAACUAUAGUGUAGUGUAAACAUAACUUUUUAAAAAUAAAGUUUAUUUAUUUUUGACAGAGAGAGAGAGAGAUGGAGAGAGCGAGCGUGCAGGACAGAGCAUCCCAAGCAGGCUCCGUGCUGACAGCACAGAGCCCGACGUGGAGUCCGGACUCACAAACUUGGAGAUCAUGACCUGAGCUGAAAUCGAGAGUCGGACGCCUAACCGACUGAGCCCCCCGGGCGCCCCGAGGGAACAUAACUUUUAUGUGCAGGGGGAAGCCAGAAAAUUCAUUGGCUUGCUUUCUUGCGAUAUUUACUUUCUUGCAGGGGGCUGGGACCGAGCCCGAGGCGUCUCUGAGGCGCCUGGAGACUGAAGAGGCCGAUUCGCCUGAAGGAAGAGCCCAUCCUGUGGCUCAAGCGCCACCACCCCCGCGAAGCCUCAGUGUGCUACCUCCGCCUUCAAUGAGCCGUACUGUCUACACCACACUUGGGAUCUCGGUCGCGGCUCCUUUUCAUCCACGAAAGUAUAGCCUCUGUGGUGAGACCAUAAGCUCCUGAGGGCUUCCUGUGAUACCGUUUAGUUUAAUAAAUACCAAGAAGA